UUUUUUUCCCCAGGCGUGUAACUGACUUCGUCGGGGAGCACCCGUGAUCGGAAGGAAGUUCCGUCGUAAAGCAGCGUAUCCAAGUACAUCUCGAGCGUCUUUUCCAUAGGAAACGUCGGAUCUUCGGCAGAAAGUCGAGCUGAAACGAUUUCCGCAAACUUUGGAUAUUAGGGAAAUGGAGAUCAGGACGAGCGAAAUUCGAAGUUGCCGUCGCUACUUCGUCGACUCGACAGCUGUGCUUUCUUCGAUUUCUCUAACCCUUUGCUUUCGCGAAGAAGCUAUUGGAAAACGAAAUUUGGUUGCUGUGAAUUUCCCUGCGCUGCUUCUACGCCUAUGUAAAUUAUUACUACGUCGAUGCGAGAAGUCGAUGCAAGAAAAACCGCGGAAUUACAAGUUAAAAAUGAGAGGAGAACCGAAGACGUAUAAUUUCGUCGGGACACGUUUGUUUAACAAUUUGAUGGAUCGUCGCCGGGGAUUGGUUAGCUCGACGCAAGGCCGGGAUAGACAGCCGUGACUUCAAAGAGGCGUUCGCCGCGCCCUCGACUUCCGAAAGGCGCUCGAUCGCGUUCGAAGAUCAAAAGAAGCAGAUUUCAGGUUCAAUGGGAGCGUUAACGGGCCUUUAAUCGGACCGGCGUAAAAGCGACUCGUUCUAAACUCACGAAGGAAACAACAGCAAGUGGCUGUUGAAGGGGGUUGUUAAUCAAGGGACUCUGGGAAGGUGCGAACGACGCCGCCGACGAGGACGAAGCUCCGCGCCGUCUCUCGGCGUGCCGAGGGAGAAAUGACAGGGGCCGCCCCGCGAUAACGAGAGCCUUCCGGUAAAAGCGGAGCGGGACGGUCUGCUUUUCACCCGGGGAAAUUUGAAUAUCGCUAAUUGAACGCCGUUCCCCCGUGCUCGCGCGUCUACGUUUGAAGAGGGCUCCGUGGCGGGCCCCGCGUCACCGAGGAUAUACAACAUUUUUAACGGUAUGCAAAUGCACGGAACCGUUCCGCGGCCGGCGUAUACAUACAGAGUGUCCCAAAAAUGUCUCGCAAU